GGUGCUGCAUGGCGUGUCGUCAGCUCGUGUCGUGAGAUGUUGGGUUAAGUCCGUAACGAGCGCAACCCUUGUCCUUAGUUACCAGCACGUUAUGGUGGGCACUCUAAGGAGACUGCCGGUGACAACCGGAGGAAGGUGGGGAGUGACGUCAAGUCAUCAUGGCCCUUACGGCCUGGGCUACACACGUGCUACAAUGGUCGGUACAAAGGGUUGCCAAGCCGCGAGGUGGAGCUAAUCCCAUAAAACCGAUCGUAGUCCGGAUCGCAGUCUGCAACUCGACUGCGUGAAGUCGGAAUCGCUAGUAAUCGUGAAUCAGAAUGUCACGGUGAAUACGUUCCCGGGCCUU
rnacentral:rRNA from 1 species